GGUCUGAAUUUCAACAUUCUGAUGCCAUAUUUAUAAUAUAAAAUAUAUGCCACUGAUUUUCCACCAACCGGUUUCUGUGCCAACGCACCACACAACCAAUAAAGAAAGCCUGCCGGCUUUGUGCACUUCAAUAUCCAAGUCGAUUGUGGUGUUGAAAACGAAAACGGUGUAAAUCUUGACAAACAGAAAAUACAUCCCUCCCUACCUUGUAGGUUUACCCAGGAUCAGAGGCUUAACAAUCUCAGAAUGUCGUUCAACAUUUUGGUGUUUUUGUAACAGCUGUCUCUUUCCAUUCAUCAAAUGGCAGAAUGCAGAGAACAAAGCAGCAAGGGUUGUUUUAAGGUGGAGAUAUGGUUCUACUGUUGCAGUCAUGGAUUGUUUUAAGGUGGAGAUAUGGUUCUCCUGUUGCAGUCAUGGAUUGUUUAAAGGUGGAGAUGUGGUUCUACUGUUGCAGUCAUGGGUUGUUUUAAGGUGGAGAUAUGGUUCUACUGUUGCAGUCAUGGAUUGUUUUAAGGUGGAGAUAUGGUUCUACUG